CCAUAUAAACACUUCAUCCCGGUUAGGCGAAAUGAAUUUUCCCCUUUUGAGCAUGCGUAAAUGCCUUUAUUGCAACAAAAAUAUGACGUCAAGCACCGAAUGGUUUCAUCCCGGCAAUGUAUUUUGUCCAUAUAAACACUAGGCGAGUAUCCUGUCUUGGCGGGAUGAAAACGUCCCGUCCCAUCUAGGCGGGAUCAUAUAAACAGGCCCUAAGGAAUUGAAAGAUUUUAUAAGCGAGCAAUGCUUAAAAGCAAGAUUAUAAACAAUGAAAGAAAUGGCACUAACAGAGCCACAACUUCUCCAGAAGUGUAAAAUUCCAUGAUACUGAAUCACAGUUUGCAAGUCAAUCCUUCAAAAUUUAGUUAAAUGUUUCCAAAACUUCAGUCAACAUAGUUUUGUAGUGCACCCAUCUUAAGGGUUCCUUUCAGCUUUCACCUUGCCAAGACCUGUCACUAAAUUAUGGGUUGCCUGAAUAGAUAUAAUUCCUCAAAUCAUG